CCCUUAGAUGUUCUGGGCUGCACGCGCGCUACACUGAAGCUAUCAACACGUUUUCCCUCCCUGAGAAGGGCGGGUAACCUUUUGAAUCAGCUUCGUGGUAGGGAUCGGGGCUUGCAAUUGUUCCCCGUGAACCAGGAAUUCCUAGUAGACGCGAGUCAUAAGCUCGCAUCGACUAAGUCCCUGCCCUUUGUACACACCGCCCGUCGCUACUACCGAUUGAACGUUUUAGUGAGGCAUUUGGACCGACGCAUCUCAGUUUAACCGCUGGUUUGUGUUGGAAAGACUUCCAAACUUGAGCGUUUAGAGGAAGUAAAAGUCGUAACA
rnacentral:rRNA from 1 species